CAAAAACCUUUCCAUCCACCCCCACCCCACUUCCUCCAUCACUGCCACCAUCCCACAACCCUAACCCAAAAAAAAUUUCAAAUCUGCCACGAGGGCACCAUUUCCACCACCAUCACAUGUUCAACAAAAAACCACCGCCUGUAUUAACAAAAACCACAGCCACUAUCCCCGCGGUAUCAACAAAAUCACCAUCGUCAGAUCCAACAAAACUAAUCUCCUCCGCCAGAUCCACCAUUACUACUAGAUUCACUACCAUCGUCACUAACAAAAACCACCACAAAAACAUGUAAACCAACGUAACCACCAUCCACUGUACGAGACGUUUGCUGAGUCCAACACAAGCCAGCAACUCAACCCUAUACAAAUGCACCACCACCACCACAGCGACCAAUACCAUUGCACUACCACCACCAUGUCAGUGAAGGCAAAUCGCGUAUCACUAAGGGAUGAAGUCAUCACAGCAAUGAUGCAUCGCCUCUUUUGGUAGUGAAGGUAAUAGGAGGAUAGAUCGAUAUCAACAAUGGUGCUCAAUGAGGUAGAGCGAAGAAGAGGUAAAGAGAGAGAGGAGAGGGAGAGGGAGAGGGAGAGGGAGAGGGAAAAGUAAUUGAAAAUGAG
rnacentral:lncRNA from 1 species